rnacentral:rRNA from 1 species
GACGAACGCUGGCGGCGUGCCUAACACAUGCAAGUCUAACGAGAAAGGGGUAGCAAUAUCCUGAGUACAGUGGCGCACGGGUGAGUAACACGUAGGCAAUUUGCCUUCAGGACGGGGACAACCUCGAGAAAUCGGGGCUAAUACCCGAUAAUGCAGCGGCACCGCAUGGUUACAGUUGUUAAAGGCCCGCAAGGGCGCCCGGAGAUGAGCCUGCGUCCCAUUAGGUAGUUGGUGAGGUAACGGCCCACCAAGCCUACGAUGGGUAGCUGGUCUGAGAGGAUGAUCAGCCACACUGGAACUGAGACACGGACCAGACUCCUACGGGAGGCAGCAGUGAGGAAUAUUGCGCAAUGGCCGAAAGGCUGACGCAGCGACGCCGCGUGAAGGAUGAAGUCCGUUAGGAUGUAAACUUCUUUUGCAGGGGAAGAAUGUGGCGCCUUGGGCGCCAUUGACGGUACCCUGCGAAUAAGGGUCGGCUAACUACGUGCCAGCG